rnacentral:lncRNA from 1 species
AAAAAUAGAAGACAUCAUGAAGAUCAUUGUGCAAAAAAUCUCAGGUGAAUUGGAUAAGUAUUUAUGGAGAUAUAGAUUUUUGAAUUGAAUGAAAAAAAUAAAAAUCACAUGAAGAACUAGCAUGAAAUGGCAUGUAAUAAAAAUGCAAAGGCAAUAAUGAAAACAGCUGAGCCAAGGAUCGAUCUGCGUCCAAUUUCAAAUUGAGGCGCCAGCACAUGAAACGCAGUCGUUUCAUUAAUGUGCUGGCAGUCAACCGAAGUCAAC